CUUUUGCGGCUCGGUUACGGAAGUUUCAACGACUCAUUGGUUGUAACGAAGGUGGUGUCUCCUGGCUGCGUGGCCAGUAAAGGGCAAGAAUAAAGCGGGUUCCGCCUCUUCCUCGGGCGGCUGAGUCCUUCCGUUGCCGUCGGGCAAUGCUCUACCUCUUUCUCCAGUGUUCUUCCACAUGCAUGAGAAACUUGGUUAAGGGGGCAGACAGACAUGUAACUAUAUAGUAAGGUAAUGAAGAAACGACUCAGGGACGCUUAUUCUUCAGUGGCCUAUCCUGAUGCCUUUUCCAAUUUACCAUGCUUGUUACUUUACACUUUUAUCACUAUACAAAUAGGUAAUAAUUUUAAGUUUGGUAGGAGUUUCUAGUUUUUAAUUUUUUUUUUCUUAGAGAAUGUUGAGCUUUACUUGCUAAAUUUGUUAUGUCCUCUAAUAAGAAAGUUUUACUUAAAUCUUUAGGUCUUAUCAAAAAAAGCUGAAAGAAAAUUUUAAGUCCUUCAUAUUAUUUUCAAAUUAGAAAAAAUUUACCAAACUGAGAACAGAUCAUAUGACCUCCUAGAUGCUUUUAAUUUCACACCAUGAUCUAAUCUUUUCAUUGCACAGCCUAUUAUGGGAACACUUAUCUAAACAUUCCCUUCAGUUAUUCUACUAAACGGUUUUAUUCCUACUGAUAUGCUUUCCUUAACUCUUUACCACACAUAAUCAGAAUUAGUUUUUAUAUUGUGUCAUUUGUCAUUCGCAUUCAUUGAGGUUAAUAAAAAAGUCAAUAAAAUGACCUGCAAUUAAAGCAAUGACAAAAACUGUCUUCAACAGAAUUUAGAAUUUUCAUAGUAAUUUAAAUAUGGGACAAAGUCAGGCACCAGAAAAAAAACUGUAUUUUGAACUCAAGAAAUGGAUAGUGUAUAUGUAAACAACAGAUGACAAGGAUACCACGUUAAUGAUAUAUCUGCCUUGUUUUCAUACCCUGCUACUCGAAUAAAAAUUGAUGCAACCUUUCUGAUAAGCAGUUUGUCCAUACAUAAAAAAGCUCUAAGUGUUCAU